UACGGAGGGUGCAAACGUUGCUCGGAAUUAUUGGGCGUAAAGCGCGUGUAGGCGGCCAUAUAAGUCGAGUGUGAAAGCCCUGGGCUCAACCUAGGAAGCGCGCUCGAUACUGCAUGGCUAGAGUACGGGAGAGGGUAGCGGAAUUCCCGGUGUAGAGGUGAAAUUCGUAGAUAUCGGGAGGAACACCAGUGGCGAAGGCGGCUACCUGGACCGAUACUGACGCUGAGACGCGAAAGCGUGGGGAGCAAACAGGAUUAGAUACCCCCGUA
rnacentral:rRNA from 1 species